UGCAACGUGGGUUUUGUAUCGUGUGAAAACAAGGCAGAAGGCAGUGAGAUUUUUCAGCCUUCUAAGAGGACCAAAUCUGAAGUGUAGUGUGGUUGUAUUUUGGGCUUUACAAGAGUGCUGAGGGAAACUUCAUCAAAAAUGGUCACCCUUUCUGCAGAACAUGCAAAACAAAAAUCGCUGCGAAAGAGGGGAACGCUUCAAAUCUCAUGAGUUAUCUUCAUGACCACCACUUUAUUGCGAAUGCAAGAGUGGGCGUGCAGCAGGCAAACCCAGUGAUGCUACUGGUCCCUCCUCAUCUACAGUUGUGACACAGACACUGAGCAAGCAUUUAAAAGGCAGGCUGCAUAUGCACCUACAUCAAAAAAUGCUCAAGACCUUUCAUAUUACAUUGCAAAGGACAUGAUGCCAUUUAAUAUUGUUGAGAGGCCUGGCUUUCUGAGGCAGAUGAAGGUUGCCGUGCCUCACUACAAAGUGAGUGCUGCUAAUUUUAUUUGAUGUUUGUUUAUUUGAUUUGCUUACUGAAGGUUGUGUUCAUUUAAACCUGCACUAGGGAAACUUACCUCUCACGGCCACAUGGUGCCAUCUUUAAUGUUUAAUGUUAUUAUUUUAAUGUUUAUAGUGCCGUGCUGCUAAUUUGUUGUUUGUUGCUUUUCAAUAUAAAACCUGGUGAAAU